AUACGGAGGGUGCGAGCGUUGUUCGGAAUUACUGGGCGUAAAGGGCGCGUAGGCGGCUUUACAAGUCAGGUGUGAAAGUCCACGGCUCAACCGUGGAAGUGCAUUUGAAACUGUAAGGCUUGAGUACUGGAGGGGAGUGUGGAAUUCCUGGUGUAGAGGUGAAAUUCGUAGAGAUCAGGAGGAAUACCGGUGGCGAAGGCGACACUCUGGACAGAUACUGACGCUGAGGCGCGAAAGCGUGGGGAGCAAACAGGAUUAGAAACCCCGGUAGUCC
rnacentral:rRNA from 1 species